GUUGGCGGUGUGCCUUAUGCAUGCAAGUCGAACGGGGAUAUGACUUUCGGGUUAUAUUCUAGUGGCGAACGGCUGAGUAACGCGUAAGUAACCUACCCUCGAGUGGGGAAUAACUUGUCGAAAGGCAAGCUAAUACCGCAUGAAGUAACCAAAAGGUAUGUUUAGUUACCAAAGUCUUCGGAUGCUCGAAGAGGGGCUUGCGUCUGAUUAGCUAGUUGGUGAGGUAAUGGCUCACCAAGGCGAUGAUCAGUAGCUGGUCUGAGAGGAUGGUCAGCCAGAUAGGGACUGAGACACGGCCCUGACUCCUACGGGAGGCAGCAGCAGGGAAUAUUGGACAAUGGGCGAAAGCCUGAUCCAGCGACACCGCGUGAGGGAAGAAGGCCUUCGGGUUGUAAACCUCUUUUCUCUGGGAAGAAAUUUGACGGUACCAGAGGAAUAAGCCUCGGCUAAUUACGUGCCAGCAGCCGCGGUAAAACGUGGGAGGCAAACGUUAUCCGGAUUUACUGGGCGUAAAGGGAGUGUAGGCGGUUCUUUAAGUCAGGUGUGAAAUUUCUUGACUCAAUCAAGAGAAGUCAUCUGAAACUGAGGGACUUGAGGGCGGCAGAAGGAAACGGAAUUCCCGGUGUAGCGGUGAAAUGCGUUGAUACCGGGAAGAACACCAGUGGCGAAGGCGGUUUCCUAGGCUGUUUCUGACGCUGAGACUCGAAAGCGUGGGGAGCGAAGCGGAUUAGAUACCCGCGUAGUCCACGCCCUAAACGGUGGACACUAGAUAUGGGGAGUAUCGACCCUCCUCGUGUCGAAGCUAACGCUUUAAGUGUCCCGCCUGGGGACUACGACCGCAAGGGUUAAAACUCAAAGGGAAUUGA
rnacentral:rRNA from 1 species